UCGGGAUUCUCCGUACACCGAGCUCUGAUCCGGAUAUUCUGUUUGACGUGUUGAAGUGCUUCUUAAGGAGAAUUCUGGGGAGAUUUCUUACUCUUUCAUUCCUCAAGGAUGAAGCAGCACAGUGGACCUCUGUACUGAGACAGGUAAGGACUGAAUAUCAAGAUGACCUUCAAACAGACAUGCUUACACAUAAACCUCCUUCCCUCAUUGUCAA
rnacentral:lncRNA from 15 species